GGGGCUGUAGCUCAGCUGGGAGAGCGACGGUCUGGCAGACCGUAGGUCAGGGGUUCGAGCCCCCUCAGCUCCA
rnacentral:tRNA from 1 species